CCUACGGGAGGCUGCAGUGGGGAAUAUUGGACAAUGGGCGAAAGCCUGAUCCAGCCAUGCCGCGUGUGUGAAGAAGGCCUUCGGGUUGUAAAGCACUUUCAGUGGGGAAGAAAGCCUUGGGGCUAAUACCCUCGAGGAAGGACAUCACCCACAGAAGAAGCACCGGCUAACUCCGUGCCAGCAGCCGCGGUAAUACGGAGGGUGCGAGCGUUAAUCGGAAUUACUGGGCGUAAAGCGCGCGUAGGCGGUCUGAUAAGCCGGUUGUGAAAGCCCCGGGCUCAACCUGGGAACGGCAUCCGGAACGGUCAGGCUAGAGUGCAGGAGAGGAAGGUAGAAUUCCCGGUGUAGCGGUGAAAUGCGUAGAGAUCGGGAGGAAUACCAGUGGCGAAGGCGGCCUUCUGGACUGACACUGACGCUGAGGUGCGAAAGCGUGGGUAGCGAACAGGAUUAGAUACCCUAGUAGUC
rnacentral:rRNA from 1 species